rnacentral:rRNA from 1 species
CGCAAUGGUAAUUGAGCUUAGUACGAGAGGAACCGCUCAUUCAGAUAAUUGGUUUUUGCGGCUGUCUGACCAGGCAGUGCCGCGAAGCUACCAUCUGCUGGAUUAUGGCUGAACGCCUCUAAGUCAGAAUCCAUGCCAGAAAGGGACGAUUUCCCCCUACACAUCGUAGUCGGAUACGAAUAGGCCUUUGGCCCCGAACCUUAGCAUGCUGGCAACGGGGUGUACGCGGAAGUGCGUGCUCCUUAGCUAGCGGAUUGCAAUUUCACUUUGCGCAGGGAUAAAUCCUUUGCAUACGACUUAGUUGUGCGACACGGUCGUGUACGCUGUCGAGUAGCCUUGUAGUUACGAGCAGCUGAGCGUAAGCCGUUU